GAGCAGCGACUCUGGUGAGUGUCGUCCUGCGUGGUUUGACUCUUUUGCUUGUGAUGGUCGUCAUCGGUCUGGUUGUUAAAGACAGGACAUUUCAGACAGCUGCUGAAGAAAGACAGAAUCCAGGACACUGUGAGAAUGAGGCCUCUGAUGAUCUGAACUAUGAAGAAGUUGUAGAGUUGACCUGAAGCCGUAAGAAGAGAGCCAGAGCCAGAUGUUAUUCAUGUUGCUUCCAGAUGGAGUGAGGAGGAGACUGGACAUGAUCUUGUAUCAAACAGUAUUACAAUGCUUUGUACUUUUGUUUAACAACUUUCUAACUUACUAUCAAUAAGAAGUUAUAAUGGAGAAGUAU